rnacentral:tRNA from 1 species
GGCUGGCUGGCUCAGUUGAGGAGCGCAUGACUCUUGAUCUUGGGGUUGUGAGUUCAAGUCUCAUGUUGGGUA